AGGGAAUCUUCCGCAAUGGACGAAAGUCUGACGGAGCGACGCCGCGUGAGUGAUGAGGGUCUUCGGAUCGUAAAACUCUGUUGUUAGGGAAGAAUAAGUAUAAGGCGAAUAACCUUAUACCUUGACGGUACCUAACCAGAAAGCCCCGGCUAACUACGUGCCAGCAGCCGCGGUAAUACGUAGGGGGCGAGCGUUGUCCGGAAUUAUUGGGCGUAAAGGGUGCGUAGGCGGUCUCUUAAGUCUGAUGUGAAAGCCUACGGCUUAACCGUGGAGGGUCAUUGGAAACUGGGAGACUUGAGUGCAGAAGAGGAGAGUGGAAUUCCAUGUGUAGCGGUGAAAUGCGUAGAGAUAUGGAGGAACACCAGUGGCGAAGGCGACUCUCUGGUCUGUAACUGACGCUGAGGCACGAAAGCGUGGGGAGCAAAC
rnacentral:rRNA from 1 species